UGUUACAGGAGAGCUGCCGCUGCCGCCGGCGCCGUCCCCGCGUCCCCUUGCCGUGGUGCGCCCUCUCCCCAUCUCCACAGGCCCUAACCCUCUCUCAAUCCCCUCACCUUCUCUCCUGUGUGGAUUCGUCCCUCACCGGAUCGAAUCCUCCGAGCCGGCGGUCUGCAGGGCCGGGCGGGAGCGGCGCGUCCCCGUCGGCGUGUCGGUGGUGACGGCCCCGCGGAUCGAGGCUGACCCCCAACGGCGCUGGCGCUGCGUCGAUCUGGCGCGCGCUUCUGCUCGAGGGGCAGCGUGGUUCAGCGACGACGAGAUGCUCGUCCAUCUCCUUCUCAUCGACCAAAUCGUCCAGGAUUCCUCAUCCACCGCCGCGCCCAAGUUUCAGUGCGCCAUCUACUCGGCUCCUACCCCAAUGUUGCUGAGUUCAGGUCACAACAUUGUGAUCUCCUUUUUCUUCGAGAAGAAUCCAUCCAAUGCUCUGAUCUAGAAAAGGCAACAAAAGUAGUUUCAUUCGUCCAUGGAUACUUGGUCCGGCCUCUCGAGAAAGGGCUAUACUAUAUAUGCUGCAAUAUACACUUGCCGCCCUGUACGAAUUCAAGCAAUCAGCACUCUGAUUAUUCCGUCUGUACACAAUUGCCUUUGCUUUCUCAACCAUGGGUACAAUUUCUCUCAUCUUUUCUGGAGAUCCCACACUAUUCCUUCGGAGCAGGAAGUGCACUUUUGAAAGGUGUUAGCAUGCUUCAUAAUUGCCUAUGCACCUGGUACCUAUAUGAUGUUAGUAUCAGUUGCUCCUGUGACUGCCAUGGGGGUCUCUCUCAUCAGUUUACUCAUAGUGUUCAAUCCAAUUUGGGAAUUUAAAAUCAAGGGUAUUGUUCUGUUAGUGGCAUUAUGCAAGAGAAAGGGGAUAUGGUAUGGGGUAGUCAUCAUGGCAAACCCAAUUGCAGCCUUAUUGUCUGUGACAUUCGUGUCCCUUAUUCUACUUCUACUACUGGACUUGUCGUUGGUCUCGAUGAGUCAUCUGGUGGCAAAGUGGAACCACGUACCAGCACAACCACCGACACCAUUCAUGUAUGCACAUUGUUCUAUCUUCCUUUUAGUGCAGGCAAUGUAUUUACAUGCAAAACAUGAGACGGUGGGGUUUCAUUCUGUAUCCCCGAUAUUAUGCACAAUCAUAUAUGUACAUUGUUCUAUCUAUUCCUUUUAGUACAGUUUAUACCUUAGAAGGAAGUGGCAUGUGGAAUCGAAAGGAAGUGGCUUAGAUAGUAUCAUGUUUCUCUUUUCACUUAAAACAGUGCAGCAUGUAACAAGUGCAGUUUUAAUUUUAGUUUGGAUACUAAUGCACUGACAUGCAUCUUUUAUGUUUAAUAAUGCACUGAUGUUCAUCUCUUUUGCUAUUUGCACUGCAAGAUUUAAUAAAAGUUAUCUUUGGAUGGUUCACAUUUUAAUAGAGAAACAACUAGAGUGACAUUGUGGGUGCGUGGAGGUGGUUUCAUCCUCAUCGACGGUGGAGACAAGAUCAAGGACUAGACCAACGCGGUCUUUGCACACGAACCAAUGUGGGCCAGUUGCAUCGGUAAAAUAGCAUCACCGGCUUAGGAAGAGGCUGAAGGUGGUAGCUUGCUGAACUCUUAUUUUGAAAAAAAAUCUGUAGAUGUUCACAUAAACCUGAAGUGUGCUCUGUUUUUCUCAUAUAAAUGAUAAACAACCACGACACCGGCACCAGCAACCAUGUGCUUCUUCUCCAUGGAAAUGGACAUGGGGCUCCAAACCACAGAAUGAGAAUGCAAGACACAAGCAAGGGAACACCAUCGCUUCACUCCUCCGGGUCGCCGCUGCUCCAACCCUACUGGACGCCAUGAAAGGUUGACCGCAGUGCGCAGUGGCGGCGCUCAUGUCUGCAUCAUCCGCAUCCGUUGUGUGUGCUCCCGUCCAUGUUGCUGAGGGACGCCUGCCCCUGUUGCAAGGACUGCCACUGUGGUUAUGGAAGACGCUACAGAUAAAUCAGGUCAUUUCAUCCGGACAUUAUGACAGAAGUUUCUAUACCCUGCUUGUUGUCGUAACAAUUGCACUAGGUCAGGGUUUUAUGACAUCUGACUUCACGGUUGCUUCAGGGUAUGUUAUUUUUUGUUGUUUAAAAUUUUGUACUACCCAGGAGGAACUGAUGAGUUCAGAAUAUACUUAUCCAAAUAUUUCAGCUCGAUGUCGACUUUGCUACAUUAUCUCGAUUUUUGUUGCAUGCCACUUUGAACUUCUACCUAGGUAAUCUCAGUAAUUACUUCUCUCCCUAUCAGUUAUGAACUGGAACAUCUCAAGUUGAGCUAUGAAUAUACAAUUUUACCUUAUCGUAAAUAAAAUAUUUACAUGCUUAUAUCCAUGUGCAUAUAUCAUUUUAGUUGCCUAUGAAAUAUGCAUACACUAUUUGAAAUGUGUCAAUCUUCAACUUAAUUAUUCACUUCCAGUUGCCCACCGCUUAUGCAGGCAAUGCGUGGCAAGCCGCGCUUUACAUUGGUUCAACCAGCCCUCUCAUCAAGUAUUAUGUUUGUGGGAUGAAUAAGACACUGGUCACUCCUGGACUAAGGAUGCACUUCUCCUGCCACUUAACAAAAAAUAAUUAGAAGAACCAUCUCAAUGAACCAGUCGAGGACAUGAUGGUCAGUCUCAGCGCUGGAUAUGUUACGAGACAGGUUUGGCGCAUAAGAGGAACACAAAAAAAGCAAUUUGUCAGACUUUGUCAAGGCGGGAGGGAUCAGAGAGUAUCAAAUGUGUUUCUUCGCCUUCAAAAUUGAAAGGGGGAAACCAUCGCUCACUCUCCAUAAUAAGCUUUAAAAAGCUAAGGUAGGAAAUCACAAGUCUAUACAGAAAUCAUUCUAUGCCAUGUAUUUCCCGGACUAUUUGCAUCGGGUUCAUGUGAAGUACCGCAUAUGAGGUUGAUCGACAAGGCAAUUGAAUGGAGCUACUUUUCAGUAUGACUAAUAACUAUAGCUUCGUAGAUUUAACAUCUAUAUUGUCAUUGUAUCUGCCUUUUUCUUCUUUAUUAUGUUCCAACUCUUUGUAAUUGCUCUCAUGUUCACGCUCGUAGUACUGAGCUUAAUGUAAAGUGAUGAUCUUUUGUGGUCCCUUUAACUCAAUAAACUUGAUGUUGCCUUA